rnacentral:lncRNA from 1 species
UUACUAGAUAUUUGAUUGCGGAAAAUGGUAAACAAACUAAAGGAAGACUAAAGGACGACAAAAACUAGCGUGGUUUCACGCGUUGCCUUACGCCAAUUCGAAAAUGCAUGGGACCAUAAUAAAUAAUAAAAUAAAGAAUAAGAAAAUGGAAAAGCAGCUCAAAUUUCUUCAUUUUAUCUUUUUCCUUAUACUUUAUCCAGCAAAUCUCCCCAGAGAGAUAGAGAGGAUAAGAAACUAAUUUUAAUCCUUUUUCCUCUUAAUUUCAGCUUAACACCGUGUGAGCAUUCCCUUUUCAUCAAACGAUGUCGCUCUGCUUUGCUUCAAUUCAUUUCAACUGGGCAGCACGUUGUGAGUUCUGCUCUGUUUCGAAAAUAAAUCAGAACAUAAAAAAUUUUGUGCCCAGGCCAAACGGACAAAAUUGGAAAACUGAACUGACUUUUAUUGAUUAUCUCUAUUACAAACAUUGAUUUUGUGCCGAGGCCAAACACUUAUUAUAGAAGCUUGUAGUUGAGACAGGAAUAGAAACAGAGACAAACAAAAACACACAAACACAAAAAAAAAAAAAAAUUCCAGCAGCAACAACUCCAGCACCAGUAACACUUUCAGCAAAAAAAAUUCCAAUAACACUUCCAGCAAAAAAAAUUCCAGCAGCAAUAACCUGGCUAAGGGGAGCCGUGGUGUGGCGCUUUGUGAGUGGAUGAGGAGAUGAGAAGGGAGAGAGGUUGCCCCAAUUUGACCCACGAACCCAACCCGCGAACGUGACCCGGUUGGAUUUCACAAUCCCGGCCACUCUACCGGCCAAUCAAGGUAUUGAUCUGAAGCUUGGAAGUCGGCCCUCGUUUUCCUGCCAUCCUUGCCGCCGAAAACCAACAAGAACGCCGUCGAUUUAGCUCAAAAAUCGCGAACCCGACCCAACCCGAUCCACGAACGUGACCCGGUUGGAUUUCACGAUCCCGACAACUCCACCGGCCGAUCAAGGUAUUGAUCUGAAGCUUGGAAGCCGACCGUCGUUUCCCUACCAUCCUCGUCGACGAAAACCAACAGGAACGCUGACCUUUUAGCUCGAAAGAACCGCGGCUCCAACGCACCACCGCGUGAGUUCUACUUCCUCGAUCACGUGAUGGUGGUGGUCCGUCGUCUGUGGGCUCGUCCGUCGUAUGUGGUUUGUCAAACGGAAAGUAAGAGUGCGUGGCUGAUUGUUGAUUGUGGGUGUGAUUAUGUGGUUUGUCAAAAGGGAAGUAAAGAGUGCGUGCGUGAGUGAGUUUGUGGUUUCNNN